GCUGUGCAGUUUGCCCAGCAUUGGAGGCAUGCAGGGGCCCUGCUUGGGGAGAAGGGCCGGAGCUGCUGAGAAGCAAGAGGCCCCUGGAGCUGAAGCUGCCUGAUGCCCAGUUUUCCAGUGACAAGUGUGUUAAAAGUGCAAAGUGCAGGGGGAGGGAAGUGGUAUUUGGAAUCCAAAGCUUCCAUCUGCACUAUAUUAUAACACUUCUUAGAGACUAGAUUUAUCCACACCAAGCAAAAAUCAGAGAGAAAAAGACGUUAUAUCUAUAGAAAGUAAUGAGG